rnacentral:rRNA from 1 species
UGGGGAAUAUUGGACAAUGGGCGAAAGCCUGAUCCAGCCAUGCCGCGUGUGUGAAGAAGGUCUUCGGAUUGUAAAGCACUUUAAGUUGGGAGGAAGGGCAGUUACCUAAUACGUAUCUGUUUUGACGUUACCGACAGAAUAAGCACCGGCUAACUCUGUGCCAGCAGCCGCGGUAAUACAGAGGGUGCAAGCGUUAAUCGGAAUUACUGGGCGUAAAGCGCGCGUAGGUGGUUAGUUAAGUUGGAUGUGAAAUCCCCGGGCUCAACCUGGGAACUGCAUUCAAAACUGACUGACUAGAGUAUGGUAGAGGGUGGUGGAAUUUCCUGUGUAGCGGUGAAAUGCGUAGAUAUAGGAAGGAACACCAGUGGCGAAGGCGACCACCUGGACUGAUACUGACGCUGAGACGCGAAAGCGUGGGGAGCAAACAGGAUUAGAUACCCCGGUAGUCCCUGAGCGGGCUGGCAAGGCGCAU